rnacentral:rRNA from 1 species
GGGGCCUGGAAUAAAAACACGCCAAAAAGUACGAGUACAGCUUUAAACUUAAAAGACCUGGCGGUGCUCAAACCCCCUAGAGGAGCUUGUUACAUAAUCGAUAAUCCCCGAUAAACCUCACCCUCUCUAGCACCAUUCAGCCUAUAUACCGCCGUCGACAGCAUGUCUCACAAGGGACAAAGCAAACUAGGCCACCACCCCUAACACGUCAGGUCAAGGUGUAGCUAAUGAGAGGGCAAAUAAUGAGCUACACUACUAAACUUAACAGAAACAACACUGAAACAAGUUAGUUAAUGAAGGAUUUAGUAGUAAGAAGAAUUUAGAACACUCUUCUGAACAAGGCGCCUGAGCGCGUACACACCGCCCGUCACCCUCUGCAGUCAAGG